rnacentral:rRNA from 1 species
UACGUAGGGGGCAAGCGUUGUCCGGAAUCAUUGGGCGUAAAGAGCGUGUAGGCGGCCCGAUAAGUCCGCUGUGAAAGUCCAGGGCUCAACCCUGGAAUGCCGGUGGAAUACUGUCGGGCUCGAAUCCGGAAGAGGUGAGUGGAAUUCCUGGUGUAGCGGUGAAAUGACGCAGAGUAUCAGGAAGAACACCCGUGGCGAAGGCGGCUCUCGUGGGACGGUACUGACGGCUGAGACGCGAAAGCGUGGGGGAGCAAACGGG